AGUGAACGCUGGCGGUAGGCCUAACACAUGCAAGUCGAACGGCAGCACAGUAAGCACUUGCUCUAGAGGGUGGCGCACGGAGGACGGGUGAGGAAUACAUCGGAAUCUACUUUUUCGGGGGGGAUAACGUAGGGAAACUUACGCUAAUACCGCAUACGACCUACGGGUGAAAGCAGGGGAUCUUCGGACUUUGCGCGAUUGAAUGAGCCGAUGUCGGAUUAGCUAGUUGGCGGGGUAAAGGCGCACCAAGGCGACGAUCCGUAGCUGGUCUGAGGGGAUGAAUCGCCACCUGGUAAGUGAGACUGGUCCCAGACUCUUACGCGGAGACACGGUGGGGAAUCUUGCGCGAUGGAGCAGAGCCUGAUCCAGCCAUACCGCGGAGGUGAAGAAGCACUUCUGGUUCGAAAGCCCUUUUGGUGGUAGAGAAAUGCAGCACGUUAAUCCGCCGCGAUACUGACGGUACCCAAAGAAUAAGCACCGGCUAACUUCGUG
rnacentral:rRNA from 1 species